AUUGAACGCUGGCGGCAUGCCUUACACAUGCAAGUCGAACGGUAACAGGUCUUCGGAUGCUGACGAGUGGCGAACGGGUGAGUAAUACAUCGGAACGUGCCUAGUAGUGGGGGAUAACUACUCGAAAGAGUGGCUAAUACCGCAUGAGAUCUACGGAUGAAAGCAGGGGAUCGCAAGACCUUGUGCUACUAGAGCGGCCGAUGGCAGAUUAGGUAGUUGGUGGGAUAAAAGCUUACCAAGCCGACGAUCUGUAGCUGGUCUGAGAGGACGAUCAGCCACACUGGGACUGAGAAACGGCCCAGACUCCUACGGGAGGCAGCAGUGGGGAAUUUCGGACAAUGGGCGAAAGCCUGAUCCAGCAAUGCCGCGUGCAGGAUGAAGGCCUUCGGGUUGUAAACGGCUUUUGUACGGAACGAAAAGCCCCGGGUUAAUACCCUGGGGUCAUGACGGUACCGUAAGAAUAAGCACCGGCUAACUACGUGCCAGCCGCCGCCGUAA
rnacentral:rRNA from 1 species